AAGCUUAAUGGCUUAAUCUUGCCUUACUGUUUGAUUAACAACAAAUCUUACAGUCGCGUAAGCGGGCAUAGGAUCACAAGAUACAAAAAGGAAAGAUCUUGGAUUUUUGGAAAAGCUACGCUAGGGAU
rnacentral:rRNA from 1 species